UCCCAUGUAGUACAUCGGUUAGUAUAUUCGCCUUUCAUGAUUAUUCCAAAUAACCAGGACCGCGAAAGAGCCGGGUUCGACUCCCGGCGUGGGAA